rnacentral:rRNA from 1 species
GCGUAAUACGUGGCGGUGGGCGGGUGGGUAUGUGGGGGGGGUGCGUUAUGCGAAAGGUUUGUGAGUAAAGGGUUGGGAGGGGGUUGGUCGGGUCUGUCGGGAAAGUCCGGGGCUUAACCCCGGAGCUGCGGUGGGUACGGGCAGACUAGAGUGCAGUAGGGGAGACUGGAAUUCCUGGUGUAGCGGUGGAAUGCGCAGAUAUCAGGAGGAACACCGAUGGCGAAGGCAGGUCUCUGGGCUGUAACUGACGCUGAGGAGCGAAAGCAUGGGGAGCGAACAGGAUUAGAUACCCUGGUAGUC